rnacentral:hammerhead_ribozyme from 1 species
GUACUGCUGAAGAGUCCCAGACUAGGACAAAAACAGCUGUCCAGUAC